CAAGAAUUGUGCAGUUAGUGAAUUUUGCAGAAAAGUGAAAAUGUUUGAGUUUUUGUCAUUGAUGCUGAAUAAUGGAUAUUCAACACAAAGGCAAGAAGUGAACAUGUAAUGAAAUAGAUCCUGCCUUCAAAUUAUCUGAGUUAUCUUCAAUCUGUGGCUUUCCCGAGGCGUCUUCAAUUCAAGCUCCUUUCACAACUGUUCCACAAUCAGUCAUCAGACUCACCUGUUCCUUGUCCCUGUAUAAACCUCUUCUCAAAAUUUAUUGUCCUAAUAAUUACAGUAUUU